GGGCAGGGCGCAGCUACACAUGCAGUCGAGCGGAACGAGUUAUCUGAACCUUCGGGGAACGAUAACGGCGUCGAGCGGCGGACGGGUGAGUAAUGCCUAGGAAAUUGCCCUGAUGUGGGGGAUAACCAUUGGAAACGAUGGCUAAUACCGCAUAACGCCUACGGGCCAAAGAGGGGGACCUUCGGGCCUCUCGCGUCAGGAUAUGCCUAGGUGGGAUUAGCUAGUUGGUGAGGUAAGGGCUCACCAAGGCGACGAUCCCUAGCUGGUCUGAGAGGAUGAUCAGCCACACUGGAACUGAGACACGGUCCAGACUCCUACGGGAGGCAGCAGUGGGGAAUAUUGCACAAUGGGCGCAAGCCUGAUGCAGCCAUGCCGCGUGUGUGAAGAAGGCCUUCGGGUUGUAAAGCACUUUCAGUCGUGAGGAAGGCGGUAAUGUUAAUAGCGGUAUUGUUUGACGUUAGCGACAGAAGAAGCACCGGCUAACUCCGUGCCAGCAGCCGCGGUAAUACGGAGGGUGCGAGCGUUAAUCGGAAUUACUGGGCGUAAAGCGCAUGCAGGUGGUUUGUUAAGUCAGAUGUGAAAGCCCGGGGCUCAACCUCGGAAUAGCAUUUGAAACUGGCAGACUAGAGUACUGUAGAGGGGGGUAGAAUUUCAGGUGUAGCGGUGAAAUGCGUAGAGAUCUGAAGGAAUACCGGUGGCGAAGGCGGCCCCCUGGACAGAUACUGACACUCAGAUGCGAAAGCGUGGGGAGCAAACAGGAUUAGAUACCCUGGUAGUCCACGCCGUAAACGAUGUCUACUUGGAGGUUGUGGCCUUGAGCCGUGGCUUUCGGAGCUAACGCGUUAAGUAGACCGCCUGGGGAGUACGGUCGCAAGAUUAAAACUCAAAUGAAUUGACGGGGGCCCGCACAAGCGGUGGAGCAUGUGGUUUAAUUCGAUGCAACGCGAGAACCUUACCUACUCUUGACAUCCAGAGAACUUUCCAGAGAUGAAUUGGUGCCUUCGGGAACUCUGAGACAGGUGCUGCAUGCUGUCGUCAGCUCGUGUGUGAAAUGUGGUAGUCCGCACGAGCGCAACCGUAUCAUGGUGCAGCAGUCAUGUCGGGACUUCAAGUAGACUGCGGUGGAUAACGAGUAGGUGGGACGAACGCUAGUCUACAUGCCUACAGAUAGCUACACACUGGUGCUACAAUGGGGGCGC
rnacentral:rRNA from 1 species